AUGUCCUUGGAGGUGACCAGGGCGACUGCAGGGAUGGUGCUAGCAGAGCUGUAUGUCUCAGAUCGAGAGGGAAAUGGUGCCACGGGAGAUGGAACCAAAGAGAAACUAUUUAAAACAGGCCUAAAAGAUUUGAUGACAGUAGGAAAAGAUCCAUUUCCUACCAUUUAUGAAGAUUCACAAAAAGAAAAUGAGAGGUAGAACAUUAUGUCUGAAUCACAGAUGAAGAACAUUAGGAAAAUGUGGCAUAGGGAGCAAAUGAAGAGUGAAUCCCGAGAGAAGAAAGAGGCAGAAGAUAAUUUGCGAAGAGAAAAGAACCUCGAAGAAGCAAAGAAGAUUACCAUUAAAAAUGUUCCAAGUCUGCCAGAGCCACAAUGUGUGAAGAUUCAUGUAUUAGAAGGAUAUAGAGGCCAGAGAGUAAAGGUUUUUGGCUGGGUCCAUAGGCUGCAUAGGCAAGGAAAGAAUUUAAUGUUCCUGGGGUUGCGGGAUGGUACGGGUUAUCUUCAGUAUGUCUUGUCGGAUGAGUUGUGUCAGUGUUACCAUGGAGUAGUUUUGUCUACUGAGAGUAGUGUUGCUGUAUAUGGAAUGCUAAAUCUUACUCCAGAGGGCAAGCAGGCUCCAGGGGGCCACGAGCUGAGUUGUGACUUCUGGGAACUUAUGGGGUUGGCCCCUGCUGGAGGAGCAGAUAACUUAAUAAAGAAUCUGAUGUUGAUGUCCAGCUGAACAAUAGGCACAUGAUGAUCCGAGGAGAAAAUAUGUCCACAAUCCUAAAACCACGUUCCAUGAUCACCAGGUGCUCCAGAGAUCACUUCUUUGAUAUAGGGUACUGUGAAGUUACUCCUCCAACGUUGGUGCAGACACAGGUAGAAGGUGGUGCCAAGCUCUUCAAGCUUGACUAUUUCGGGGAAGAGGCAUUUUUGACUCAGUCCUCUCAGUUGUACCUGGAGACCUGCCUUCCAUCCUUGGGAGAUGUUUUUUUGUAUUGCACAGUCAUACAGAGCAGAACAAUCCAGAACAUGAAGGCACCUGGCUGAGUACACUCACGUGGAAGCUGAGUGCCCUUUCCUGGCCUUUUGAGGAUCUCCUGAACAGACUGGAGGACUUGGUUUGUGACAUGGUAGAUAGAGUCUUAAAAUCACCGGCAGCAAGUAUAGUGUAUGACCUCAACCCGAAUUUUAAACCCCCUAAACGGCCUUUCAAACGGAUGAACUACUCCAAUGCUAUUGUGUGGCUAAAAGAACACAAUGUAAAGAAAGAAAAUGGGACUUUCUAUGAAUUUGGAGAAGAUAUCCCAGAAGCUCCUGAGAGACUGAUGACAGACACCAUUAAUGAACCAAUCUUUCUGUGUCGAUUUCCUGUGGAGAUCAAGUCCUUCUACAUGCAGCAAUAUCCUGAGGAUUCCCGCCUUAGUGAAUCUGUUGACGUGUUGAUGCCCAAUGUUGGUGAGAUUGUGGGAGGCUCAAUGCGUAUCUGGGAUAGUGAAGAAAUGCUGGCAGGUUAUAAAAGGGAAGGGAUUGACCCCACUCCUUAUUACUGGUACACAGAUCAGAGAAAAUAUGGUACAUGUCCUCAUGGAGGAUUCAGCUUGGGCUUAGAACGAUUCCUGACUUGGAUUCUGAAUAGAUAUCACAUCCGAGAUAUAUGCUUGUACCCUCGAUUUGUCCAGUGCUGUAAGCCAUAA